rnacentral:rRNA from 1 species
AUUGAACGCUGGCGGCAUGCCUUACACAUGCAAGUCGAACGGUAACGGGCCUUCGAGUGCCGACGAGUGGCGAACGGGUGAGUAAUACAUCGGAACGUGCCCGAUCGUGGGGGAUAACGAGGCGAAAGCUUUGCUAAUACCGCAUACGAUCUACGGAUGAAAGCAGGGGACCGCAAGGCCUUGCGCGGACGGAGCGGCCGAUGGCAGAUUAGGUAGUUGGUGGGAUAAAAGCUUACCAAGCCGACGAUCUGUAGCUGGUCUGAGAGGAUGAUCAGCCACACUGGGACUGAGACACGGCCCAGACUCCUACGGGAGGCAGCAGUGGGGAAUUUUGGACAAUGGGCGCAAGCCUGAUCCAGCCAUGCCGCGUGCAGGAUGAAGGCCUUCGGGUUGUAAACUGCUUUUGUACGGAACGAAAAGCCUUCUUUUAAUACAGGAGGGUCAUGACGGUACCGUAAGAAUAAGCACCGGCUAACUACGUG